UCAGAGUUUUUUUAGACCCGGCCAAAGACUUUGCUUCAAUGAAUCCUGUCUUUGUUUCCAGCCAAUAAUCAUUCUUUUGGAAGAGCAACAUCUGCACAGCAAAAUAAAUAAGCAAAAAGCAAAAAGACAGCCAAUGGAGUGGGAGAAAUAUUUGCAAACUCUGCGUCCAACACAGAACUAAUAUCCAGAAUCUACAGGAAA
rnacentral:lncRNA from 13 species